rnacentral:rRNA from 1 species
CAAAUUGAGAGUUUGAUCCUGGCUCAGGAUGAACGCUGGCGGCGUGCCUAAUACAUGCAAGUCGAACGCUUUGUGGUUCAACUGAUUUGAAGAGCUUGCUCAGAUAUGACGAUGGACAUUGCAAAGAGUGGCGAACGGGUGAGUAACACGUGGGAAACCUACCUCUUAGCAGGGGAUAACAUUUGGAAACAGAUGCUAAUACCGUAUAACAAUGACAACCGCAUGGUUGUUAUUUAAAAGAUGGUUCUGCUAUCACUAAGAGAUGGUCCCGCGGUGCAUUAGCUAGUUGGUAAGGUAAUGGCUUACCAAGGCGAUGAUGCAUAGCCGAGUUGAGAGACUGAUCGGCCACAAUGGGACUGAGACACGGCCCAUACUCCUACGGGAGGCAGCAGUAGGGAAUCUUCCACAAUGGGCGAAAGCCUGAUGGAGCAACGCCGCGUGUGUGAUGAAGGGUUUCGGCUCGUAAAACACUGUUGUAAGAGAAGAAUGACAUUGAGAGUAACUGUUCAAUGUGUGACGGUAUCUUACCAGAAAGGAACGGCUAAAUACGUGCCAGCAGCCGCGGUAAUACGUAUGUUCCAAGCGUUAUCCGGAUUUAUUGGGCGUAAAGCGAGCGCAGACGGUUAUUUAAGUCUGAAGUGAAAGCCCUCAGCUCAACUGAGGAAUUGCUUUGGAAACUGGAUGACUUGAGUGCAGUAGAGGAAAGUGGAACUCCAUGUGUAGCGGUGAAAUGCGUAGAUAUAUGGAAGAACACCAGUGGCGAAGGCGGCUUUCUGGACUGUAACUGACGUUGAGGCUCGAAAGUGUGGGUAGCAAACAGGAUUAGAUACCCUGGUAGUCCACACCGUAAACGAUGAGUGCUAGGUGUUUGAGGGUUUCCGCCCUUAAGUGCCGCAGCUAACGCAUUAAGCACUCCGCCUGGGGAGUACGACCGCAAGGUUGAAACUCAAAGGAAUUGACGGGGACCCGCACAAGCGGUGGAGCAUGUGGUUUAAUUCGAAGCAACGCGAAGAACCUUACCAGGUCUUGACAUCCCUUGACAACUCCAGAGAUGGAGCGUUCCCUUCGGGGACAAGGUGACAGGUGGUGCAUGGUUGUCGUCAGCUCGUGUCGUGAGAUGUUGGGUUAAGUCCCGCAACGAGCGCAACCCUUAUUACUAGUUGCCAGCAUUCAGUUGGGCACUCUAGUGAGACUGCCGGUGACAAACCGGAGGAAGGUGGGGAUGACGUCAAAUCAUCAUGCCCCUUAUGACCUGGGCUACACACGUGCUACAAUGGCGUAUACAACGAGUUGCCAACCCGUGAGGGUGAGCUAAUCUCUUAAAGUACGUCUCAGUUCGGAUUGUAGGCUGCAACUCGCCUACAUGAAGUCGGAAUCGCUAGUAAUCGCGGAUCAGCACGCCGCGGUGAAUACGUUCCCGGGUCUUGUACACACCGCCCGUCACACCAUGAGAGUUUGUAACACCCAAAGCCGGUGGGGUAACCUUCGGGAGCCAGCCGUCUAAGGUGGGACAGAUGAUUAGGGUGAAGUCGUAACAAGGUAGCCGUAGGAGAACCUGCGGCUGGAUCACCUCCUUU